CCUACGGGUGGCUGCAGUGGGGAAUAUUGGACAAUGGGCGAAAGCCUGAUCCAGCAAUGCCGCGUGAGUGAUGAAGGCCUUAGGGUUGUAAAGCUCUUUUACCAGGGAUGAUAAUGACAGUACCUGGAGAAUAAGCUCCGGCUAACUCCGUGCCAGCAGCCGCGGUAAUACGGAGGGAGCUAGCGUUGUUCGGAAUUACUGGGCGUAAAGCGUGCGUAGGCGGUGACUCAAGUCAGAGGUGAAAGCCUGGAGCUCAACUCCAGAACUGCCUUUGAAACUAGGUCGCUAGAAUCUGGGAGAGGUGAGUGGAAUUCCGAGUGUAGAGGUGAAAUUCGUAGAUAUUCGGAAGAACACCAGUGGCGAAGGCGGCUCACUGGACCAGAAUUGACGCUGAGGCACGAAAGCGUGGGGAGCAAACAGGAUUAGAUACCCUUGUAGUC
rnacentral:rRNA from 1 species